UACGGGGGGGAGCAAGCGUUGUCCGGAAUUACUGGGUGUAAAGGGAGCGUAGGCGGGAUGCCAAGUCGGGUGUGAAAUGCCGCAGCUUAACUGCGGAGCUGCACCCGAAACUGGCGUUCUUGAGUGAUGUAGAGGCAGGCGGAAUUCCUAGUGUAUCGGUGAAAUGCGUAGAUAUUAGGAGGAACACCAGUGGCGAAGGCGGCCUGCUGGGCAUUAACUGACGCUGAGGCUCGAAAGCGUGGGGAGCAAACAGG
rnacentral:rRNA from 1 species